AGGGAGAUAAGACUAGAUGCGGUCUGCUCUCUGCAACUUUAGAGAGAUAAGAUUUGUCAUCUUCAGUCUGCCUCACUACCAAUAUAAAAAGACAGGAUCUGCUAUUUUCGAUCUACUUCAAGCCAAUACAUGAAGAUAAUAUCUGCUUUCUUCGAUCUACUUCGCCACCAAUGUGGGAAUACAAGAUCUGCAUCUUCGAUCCACUUCCUACCAAUACAGGAAGACAGGAUAUGUUAUCAUCGAUCUACUUCAC
rnacentral:lncRNA from 1 species